CAGCCACCCAAAAGAGACCGUGUGGAUCCAGUUCUGUUCAUCCAUCUGAGCUUCUCUCCUGAAGAGCUCUGCCCUCCAAGCACUCCUGCCUUGCUGUAGGAAUGGCUUUCCCUUCUCAGCCUCCGGGAACAGUCAAGCCACCUUCCAAAGACAGCCUGACAAUGCUCUUUUCUAAUGUCUUAGAUUGCCGUUCACAAGCUGGAUCUUGCAGACUUCAGCCAGCACAUCUACAGCAUUAGGAACAGCAAAUGAUGACGGCCAGAAGCAAUUCCACAACAGACAUCUAAACGAAACGAGCACCUGAGCUGGAUAUAAUACAUACUGCUUGGGUCUUCUGUACUCAAAAUCAGAGGUCCAAACACUUUCAGAACUGAAGACUUGGGUCUGUGUUGUUUCCUAAGUGCCAGACUUCUGAGUACCCCACUCAGCUGGAACCCUGCUCUGCUCCCACAGGCCAUUAUGUGCCCUGUGAGGAAACACCUUCAAGCAGAAUCUCACUUUCUGUUCUUCCUGAAGUCACAGAAUCCAGAUUAUGCACCAUCCCUAUGUGGAUACAGACAACCUCACACUGAGAACUCAGAGCCUGUGGACGCUUAGUAGGACAUGACUGGAAUUACACAGAUUAUGCCUUCUUGCAUGAAAUAAGUAGAAAAGUCACAGCAUGGGUUAAAAAUACGCUUGUCUUCUCUCAAUAAUUAAUUGUUCAGGGAUUAACAUGAGGUUUUGUGUUUUGAAAGUAAACUAAUCCACUCGUUGGCUGGUGUGUAAUGAAGGAGAACAGGCUACUGUCAAGCAGGCUGAAAACAGUGAAAAUUAACUACAAGUGCCACGACUCACAUAUUUUAUGUAUAUGAGUAAUGUAUUCCCUGUGGGACAGAAGAUGAAAAUAUCACACAGAAAAGAAAAACACAGUGGCUACAAAUUUAAUAAAACAAGCAAUCAUACUUAGCCUCAAAGCAUAAUUUGGCAUUUUUACUGCCUGAUGGUAUCAAGGUGGGGCCAGUGCAAGAGAACUCAUGCUUGUGAACUCACAAGAAGCACGACUUCACUUUUUACAGCCUGAGUGCAGAGCUAGCAAAAGGAAAGGAAAAUGCAACUACAACCCAGAAAACACUGAAUUAAAAUGAUUAUAAUUGGAAAGCA